UAUACAGUGUAUGUACAUGGAGGGAA
rnacentral:piRNA from 1 species